ACAUGUUUACUGUUGCCUGAAGCCAUACUCGAAGCUCAAUGACUUUUCAGUGCUGAAAAAGGCAAAUGGAACCAUCUUAGAGUUUAUUUUGAUUCCUUUGCUCUAGUGUUACUUGAAUGCAAUGUAUCUAAAAGAUUUAGGUCUGAAAUAUGUUAAGACUCCCUAUUUCGUGAUGAGUCCAAAGCCUAACAUUGGAAGUGAGGGGGCAAUAAUGUCACAGUGCGUACGUCUUGCUGGGAUACAGCACACAAGACUAGGAAUUGACUUAAGAAUGAAAGGCUGUCUUCAUUUAUCUGUUAAGCUAGAUCCUAAAGCACCUCAUCUACUCGUAAACUUUCUUUAUGGACAAAAUAGGAAUGUUUACUUUCCUCUCAGUUAGUAUGCAAGUCUAUUUGCAGCAUUCUAGCAAAGGAAGAGUACAAGUCAUUUUCUGUGCUUAUAAAUUGUUCAUUACCAUGCUCUCUUAUGGCCAAUUCAUGGCUCCAUCUGCAACGCCACAAAUCUCUUUGCCCAGAUAAGCUUGGUGGAGUAAAUAUGAGGUGCUAAAGAAGAUGAGCUCAGGAUUAAGGGGAAAAAAAAUUAUAUCUCACAUGAAAUUCCCAUCUAGGAUUUUAAAAUUUCUAACUCCUUACUUGUAUUGAU
rnacentral:lncRNA from 1 species